AGCUCUGUGCAGGGGCAGUACCGUAGCCAAUGAGGCUUACCCAAGGUUUGAUUAUUGCUAAUUGAAAACAAGUCUGUGACCCCACCAACAUGCGGGUUAUCCGAAGUCGGGCAUGGUGGCGCAUGCUGUAAUCCCAGCACUCGG
ensembl:snRNA U4 U4 spliceosomal RNA